AUUGUCGUGCUUUAAAGGAUGAAUGACAAGUCACAAGUUAAACUAUCCUAGAUCUCUGAUCUAGUGGGACAUUUGGCACAUUGUCAGUGAUAUGUGUUCGCUUGUUUCCAUAAUAAAUUGGCACGGAAUGUGGCAAGGAAUAUAAAAUAAUGUUCCUCCUUUAAAUGCGAUACCUUGUUAUUUUUUGUAAAGGUGGAGAUUUAAUCAAUAAUUAAAUGACUCCCAACAAUGGAUAUCUUGACUCUCGUAUCGAUGAAGAACGUAGCAAAAUGCGAUACUUGGUGUGAAUUGCAGAAUCCCGUGAAUCAUCGARUYUUUGAACGCAMGUUGCGCCUAAGGCCAAUUAUAGGUUUAGGGCAUGCUUGCUUGGGCGUCGUUUACUAAGCCGCGUCAAUAUCUUUUUCAAGAUAUAUUGAUGGAUGGGUAUUUGAUUGUGGAUAUUGUUCUUUCGUUCACUAGAUUGUGUGCGGUUGGAUGAAAUAUUAUUGUAUUUGAUGCCAAAUGUCUUACAUGUUUUGGUUAACAUUGUAUGAUAUUAAUGUUAUCGGGUAAAGCUAAAAUCCAAAUAGAAUUUCAAUCUCAUUCUCGUAAAAUGAGAGAAACCUUUUGACCUCAGGUCAAGCA
rnacentral:rRNA from 1 species